UCAAAGAGAACUUUGUUGCUAAGGAUAAAGUAAUCUCAAAUGCCAUGUUCACCCUUAUCUCACACCCUUAUCUAGAGAGCUACUUCAAAGACAAUGAAACCUGUCCCAUUAGGGUAGCCUUCUUAGCUUCCCACCUGCAUAUAUAGGCACAAACUCUGUGAAGGCAACACCAUUGCUCAUUCAUCCUUGCAACUCUUUUCAGUGGCACACAACAAAUCUUAGAAGAACCAUGAAGUUCAUCUGUCUUUUCUUUGCUGUGGUCUUCCUUGGUAGAGCCCAGGCUGAUGAAGCCGAUGUGGAUCAAGGGGAAGAGCAAGACUUGAGUGGUCCUCAGGACCAAAACCCAGCUUUGCCAGCUGGUUAUGAUGAAGCUUUGAAGAAUGAAGGAAACAUGCAACGGAGGAAUGGUACCGGUCAAUGUAAGAGUGGUGGCCAUAAAUACUUUUUCGGGCAUCUGCCCUUGUGGAUCUGUGCCCCCUGGAAAAUGCAGUUCUUUCGAGAGCUGUUGUAAAGAAGUUCCCCUCCCAAGUAAUCCCAUCGUAUGCAAUUCUAUGGGGGGGAGAUGCCGUCACAAGUGUGGUCUCUCUGAGAAGUAUGUUGGACGAUGCUUUGCAACUAUGUCCUGCUGUGUGCGUUUUCAGUAGAGAGCAUGCGCGAGAAAGAGGCAAGAAAGACCAACAGCGUAUGAUCGGAAGAGAGGAAGAAACCGAUCGAGAUGAAUUAAUGCUAAAUCAUUCCUUUUCAAUUAAAAUUGAGUUUGCAUCCAAUCAUUCUUACUCCAGGGACUCAAUUACUCCUAGUUAUCACUAGCGCUGAACUACCACUGCUGUUGUAACUACUACUACAAACUCUCCCUGUGCCCCGAGUUAUCCGAAAAAGUCUCAAUUUUCUUGAUUUCUUGAUUUGAUUUUAUUUAUUUUAUUUCUAUGCAACUGUUCAUCCACAUGAAUCUCAAAGCAGCUUUGAAAGAGCAAAUAACAAUAACAGAACAGAACAUCACAAAUCAUAUAGAAUGAUGAACAAAUCAGUAAAACACUAUUAACAAAACAACAACAACAAAAAGCAAAGCAGCAUAAUCACAACAGAAGUCAUAUUAUGGGAUUCACGAAGUACUACAGCAUUCACAAUCUAUAAAACAAUCUUAACAGCAUUAACAAAAUAGCAAACAAAAAAAUAAACUAAGCCCUGUUGAAUUCAUACACAAACUCUUCUCAAAUCUCAUGAUUUCAGCUCAUUAAAAUACACAUCGACAUCUUGCCCAUGGCAGGAACUCCUUUCUGAAGGUUUAUUGGGUUGGAUGUGGGGCAGCACAGGGGCCUCUCCUCCCUCCCAGUUCUUUCUCUGGAAACAGUUCCCUUAUGAAGGCUCCUAGGAGUGGGUGCUGUUGACAGUUCCUGGCUAUCUGCCCAGGAAAGCAGAAAUGCAGAGAGAAAGAGCUUUUUAGACACAGGGAAAACAAUCUUACGAUCAAGCCAACAUUGCUUGGAAUAACGCACCACCGGCUCCCUGGCUGUUACUUCCUAGCAAUUAGACCCCUCCUGCUGCUUACGGUGGCUGCUAAGGGCAAACCGUCUUUGGGCUCCUUGUUUUGCGACAUGCAGAGCAUUCCUAGUUCUUAGGGAAGGACGGGGGCUCUGGCAAACUCUCCAGAGACGGCGAGUCACUUGGCUGCUGCACAGAUCGGACUCCUACCUCUGUGCACUGCUCCUGUCCUUCAUCACCCAUUAUUUCCCAACUCCUUCCUCUCUCCUGUCUCAAACCACCAGUCCAAAACAUUACUGUCUCCCCCUUUGCCCUCACUGUAAUGCUUCUGCGGUCUCCGCCUCUUCUCACCAGCAGUCCAGUCCCUGACAGGUGGAGGAUGAGGCAAGGCAGGUGGAAACAGAUAUUGCCUGACAAACAGCACCAAGUCCCCCCCCUCACAGUACUUGCUCUUGUUAUUAUCCCAAGGAAAAGGGGCACCCCAAAUUCUCUUCUAGGG
rnacentral:lncRNA from 1 species